CCAUGGUAACUUGGAAGCGAAAAGAGUUGACGGCUGAUAGAUAUCCCACCAAGAGAAGAUGGUGAGCAGUUUUCAAACAAAUGCCACCCAAGGAUGCAAAGUCUGCCCAAAAGAAAGGAGGCAAGCUCAGUAAGGCUGGAAAAGAGCAACUUCAGAAAGAGGAGGAUGAGAGAAGACAAAAGGAAGAGGAGGCUUGACUCCUGGCUGAGAAAGAGGAGCAGGGGAGGCUGGAGAGAGAGAGGAAGGAGCAGGAGGAGCAUCAGAGACUGGAGCUAAAGGACAAAGAUCGCAGAGAGGACAAGCUGAACGAACUGCGUCAUCUACUGGAAGAGAAACAGACUGCAGUCACCAAGUGGGAGACUGAGUCCAGAGAAAAAGCCAAGGUGUGUGAUUGUUCUAAAGCUCUGGCCUGCAUAAUGAUGUAGUAAACAACAUCGCUCUGCGUGGGAACUUUUGGU